AACGAACGCUGGCGGCAUGCCUAACACAUGCAAGUCGAACGAGACCUUCGGGUCUAGUGGCGCACGGGUGCGUAACGCGUGGGAACCUGCCUUUAGGUUCGGAAUAACUCAGAGAAAUUUGAGCUAAUACCGGAUAAUGUCUUCGGACCAAAGAUUUAUCGCCUUUAGAUGGGCCCGCGUUGGAUUAGCUAGUUGGUGGGUAAAGCCUACCAAGGCGACGAUCCAUAGCUGGUCUGAGAGGAUGAUCAGCCACACUGGGACUGAGACACGGCCCAGACUCCUACGGGAGGCAGCAGUGGGGAAUAUUGGACAAUGGGCGAAAGCCUGAUCCAGCCAUGCCGCGUGUGUGAAGAAGGUCUUCGGGUCGUAAAGCUCUUUUACCAGGGAUGAUAAUGACAGUACCUGGAGAAUAAGCUCCGGCUAACUCCGUGCCAGCAGCCGCGGUAAUGUGACUACUG
rnacentral:rRNA from 1 species